rnacentral:rRNA from 1 species
AGAGUUUGAUCCUGGCUCAGGACGAACGCUGGCGGCGUGCCUAAUACAUGCAAGUAGAACGCUGAAGCUUGGUGCUUGCACCGAGCGGAUGAGUUGCGAACGGGUGAGUAACGCGUAGGUAACCUGCCUGGUAGCGGGGGAUAACUAUUGGAAACGAUAGCUAAUACCGCAUAAAAUGGAUUAUCGCAUGAUAAUCCAUUGAAAGGUGCAA